rnacentral:lncRNA from 1 species
AUAAACACAUUUAUUGUAUGAGGAGUUGGGUGCUGGGUGUUGGGUGUUGAUUAUAUUUUCUAUACUGUCCAACAUCAGCAUGAUCAAGUUUGGUAAUCCGACCCUUUUAUCCUUUUUUUUUUUUGUAUCAUUAAAGAAAUAUCCAUUCAAUAAAUCCUUUACUAUAAUUUCUACCGUCUAUGUCCGAUAUAAAUACUUAUG